UACAGAGAGUGCAAGCGUUAAUCGGAAUUACUGGGCGUAAAGCGCACGUAGGUGGAUAUUUAAGUCGGAUGUGAAAGCCCUGGGCUUAACCUGGGAAUUGCACCCGAUACUGGGUAUCUAGAGUAUGGUAGAGGAUAGUGGAAUUUCCGGUGUAGCGGUGAAAUGCGUAGAUAUCGGAAAGAACACCAGUGGCGAAGGCGGCUAUCUGGACCAAUACUGACACUGAGGUGCGAAAGCGUGGGGAGCAAACAGG
rnacentral:rRNA from 1 species